rnacentral:ncRNA from 1 species
GGUAGCAAUAAGAGCCAUAUAUGGCUUAUAGAGGGUCAUAAUUAAUUUGGCUUUUCAAUAUCAAAGAAAAAACAUGUCUCAGGUCACAACAGGCUUUAUUGGUUGAAAAAUAAGCCGUUAAACUUGCAGCCUUAAGUGGGUGAAAAACUUCAUCUAAGGCUAAAUACGAACGCGAAAUUCGAUAGCAAACAAGUAGUGUGAACGAAAGUUGCAAAGAACUUUGAAGAGAGAGUUCAAGAGAACGUACAGAUCUUUGCCAACAUGAGCUGAAUUGCUUUCUAUCUAUUAUAAUGAUAUUACGAUAUUCUAAAGGCCAUAAAUCUUAUUUAUUUUGCGUCUUUUUCAUCCUAACAUUCAUAUUAGUGAACGAGCAGAUUCGGCUAAGAAUUCAUUACAAAAAUUGCUGUGUGGAAGUUUCCGGGACAUUUAGAGCCACGUAUGACACGGAGAAUGAACGAGAGAUACAAGUUCUUUGCGGUUGUCAAAUCUUCAAGUCCUUAAGGAGUUUAGCUAUCAAAAAAGCUG